UAAGGAAUAUUGGUCAAUGGACGCAAGUCUGAACCAGCCAUGCCGCGUGAAGGAUGAAGGUCCUCUGGAUUGUAAACUUCUUUUAUCUGGGACGAAAACGGGAUUUUUAUCUCAAUUGACGGUACCAGAGGAAUAAGCACCGGCUAACUCCGUGCCAGCAGCCGCGGUAAUACGGAGGGUGCAAGCGUUAUCCGGAUUCACUGGGUUUAAAGGGUGCGUAGGUGGGCAGAUAAGUCAGUGGUGAAAUCUUCCGGCUUAACCGGGAAACUGCCGUUGAUACUAUUUGUCUUGAAUAUUGCGGAGGUAAGCGGGAUAUGUCAUGUAGCGGUGAAAUGCUUAGAUAUGACAUAGAACACCAAUUGCGAAGGCAGCUUACUACACAAACAUUGACACUGAGGCACGAAAGCGUGGGUAGCGAACA
rnacentral:rRNA from 1 species